CUGAAAUCCCAAUAAAAGAGCUACUGGAGUGAUAUCCCCACGCCAGCUCAAUUACAGGAGAGGGUAUCAAAGAUCUGCAUGGAAGUUUGCUGGAUAUAACUCUACUACAGGGCUUCAUGGGCGAGAAAAUACCUCAAGUCUGCCUAAACUUUGAAGGAGAAUUUUUGCACAAAGGCUAGCCAAGGUGAAUUACAUCAAAUGGGAGGUUGCCAUGGAGUAUGAUAUGGUUCAGGGGAUAUACUACAAGGGUGAUGUUCACAUGGCAACCAAACUGCUGCACGAUCUCGGGAUGGUCAAAUACUUUGACAAAUAUUUUCUCCGAGACCA